rnacentral:rRNA from 1 species
GACAGGAUGCGAAUCUCGAAAGCCGGUCUCAGUUCGGAUUGGAGGCUGAAACUCGCCUCCAUGAAGUUGGAUUCGCUAGUAAUCGCGCAUCAGCCAUGGCGCGGUGAAUACGUUCCCGGGCCUUGUACACACCGCCCGUCAAGCCAUGGGAGUUGGGGGUGCCUGAAGUACGUGACCGCAAGGAGCGUCCUAGGGCAAAACCGGUGACUGGGGCUAAGUCGUAACAAGGUACC